GCGCCUCCAGCUCGAAGGGCCCAAGGCCUGAGAUAUCUCCAGUCAGGUCCUGCUGCUCGAAGGACAUCUUCGCCAACGCUCUGCUAGCAUCUUUACCAGCAAACAAUGCAUACGGACCACCUGGUCCAUAAAACAUCCGGCUCUGAGUGACGUCGUAGAUCUGUCCCUUGAUCGCCAUCAGCAGCGGCUUCUUCGGAUCCGCCCCAUCGUACACCGCCAGCUCCUCCUCACCGAUCUCCCCCAGCUGCACGGGAGGCGGCAGUGGCUCCGAUGGCUCAAAGUCUCGGUCGAUCCUCCGGGGCGGCGGAGGAGCGGCGAAGAAGCCGGAGACGAGGUGGUAGAAGGCGAAAGCAAGAGCGAGGACGGUGAAGAAAGUCGCCGGAGAGAGGCCGGUGUAGGCGGCGAUCGCGUGCUUCGCGGUCUCCCAGAGCUCGGCGAUGGCCAUGGUGGGGAGUCAAAGGGGAUGAAUGGGAUUGCAGGCGGUGGC
rnacentral:misc_RNA from 1 species